GGAAGAUUUAUCCGUGUCUAAGGAUUUGCGGGUUGCAAUUGUACGAAAUUUGAGUUCAGGGUGGUAUUUGUUGGGGAACGUCGCAUGGGAAACAAAAAAUUUCCUACGCGCACGAAGACCUAUCAUGGUGAUGUCCAUCUACGAGAGGGGAUGUGUGAUCUACGUACCCUUGUAGACCGUACAGCAGAAGCGUUAGUGAACGCGGUUGAUGUAGUGGAACGUCCUCACGUCCCUCGAUCCGCCCCACGAACCGUCCCGCGAUCAGUCCCACGA
rnacentral:lncRNA from 1 species